rnacentral:rRNA from 1 species
GAUGAACGCUAGCUACAGGCUUAACACAUGCAAGUCGAGGGGCAUCAGGAAGAAAGCUUGCUUUCUUUGCUGGCGACCGGCGCACGGGUGAGUAACACGUAUCCAACCUGCCCUUUACUCGGGGAUAGCCUUUCGAAAGAAAGAUUAAUACCCGAUAGCAUAAUGAUUCCGCAUGGUUUCAUUAUUAAAGGAUUCCGGUAAAGGAUGGGGAUGCGUUCCAUUAGGUUGUUGGUGAGGUAACGGCCCACCAAGCCUUCGAUGGAUAGGGGUUCUGAGAGGAAGGUCCCCCACAUUGGAACUGAGACACGGUCCAAACUCCUACGGGAGGCAGCAGUGAGGAAUAUUGGUCAAUGGGCGUUAGCCUGAACCAGCCAAGUAGCGUGAAGGAUGAAGGCUCUAUGGGUCGUAAACUUCUUCUAUAUAAGAAUAAAGUGCAGUAUGUAUACUGUUUUGUAUGUAUUAUAUGAAUAAGGAUCGGCUAACUCCGUGCCAGCAGCCGCGGUAAUACGGAGGAUCCGAGCGUUAUCCGGAUUUAUUGGGUUUAAAGGGAGCGUAGGUGGACUGGUAAGUCAGUUGUGAAAGUUUGCGGCUCAACCGUAAAAUUGCAGUUGAUACUGUCAGUCUUGAGUACAGUAGAGGUGGGCGGAAUUCGUGGUGUAGCGGUGAAAUGCUUAGAUAUCACGAAGAACUCCGAUUGCG